rnacentral:lncRNA from 1 species
AAGAAGGAAGAGACAGACAGACAGAAAUCUCACAUCUCUGACUGGUUAACACCCAAAAUGCCUACAAUGGCUGGGACUAGCAGAACAAAGCCAGAAGCCAGAAACUCAGCUUUGCCUACCACGUUCUAGAGUGUGAAUUCGUAGGAAACUGGAAUUACAAUCAGAGCCAGGACUUGAACCUAGGCAUUGAUAUAGAAUGUGGAUGCCCCAGGAAGUGUCUUAAUUGCUAGGACAAAUAUGUGUUCCUUCACCUUCUUUAAGAGUUAUAUAUUUCUAUUUUCUUAUCUUUCUCUGAUGCCUAUUAUUGUUAGAUUUCUACAUACAAUAGUUGCUAUAUGGGCUUGCUUAAAAACAGUAAAGUUCUUGACAAAUGUUUGUUAAGUUCCUUAUUUUUGGAAUGUCUUUGUAUAAAAAUAUGACCAAAUUGUUACAAUGAGACAAUGAAACAAUUUGUUAUUCGUUUUGGCAUGUUAUUAUAGAAUUACUGCUCCAAGCUGAAAUAUGCAAUUAUGUUAAGGAAGUAUUUUCUGCAAGGAAAAUAACAGUAGCUUGCCCAUACUGAAUAUUUUACAGUAAAAACAAAGUAACACUACAUCAAGAAAAAGGUGAUAAAGUUUGUGUCAUGCACAACUGAAUUCAAAUUUGCCUGGAAAAUUUAAAAUGGAAUCUGACCAGAAAAAGAGGUGACAUGAAUGACAUUGAUUCUGAAAGAAAAAUGACAGCUGUGAACCCCAGAUGUGUGCUGAGGAACUGCAUGGCUGAGUCUGCUUUGCAAAAAGAAGAAAGGAAUGAUUUUUCAGAGCUCUGUCUCCCACAGCAAGUUCUCCAGUGCCCAUUCCAGACGCAGUCUGCAGCUGAGAAAAUGAAUCCUGCCCAAGAGAAAGAUUUCAUCUCUAACUCAUUCAGCAGCAGGAAGCCCGGGAACCGAGGUAGAAUGAUUCUGAUUUGCAGGAGCAGAGCAGGGGGCUCUGAAAGUUUUCUCAGGCUCCACACAGGAACACUUCAAAGUACAGAAUCUUUACAAAAGAGCUUUUUAUAGCUGCAAGGGCUCAGACUUCAAAGAGACAUUUUUCUCAUCCCGUGGGAAAAGAAGAUACAGAAAUUGAGAACCGGCAGGACUUUUCUGGUCACACUCAUAUGUCUCCUAGACAGUUUAAUUCCUGAUGCUCAGCUUAAUUUAAAGAUAUAAAUAAAAUAGCGCUUAGAAGAUUAUUUCUGGGGACC